UAAACGGACCAUCGAGUAUCCAUUGGAGGGCAAGUCUGGUGCCAGCAGCUGCGGUAAUACCAGCUCCAAUAGCGUAUAUUAAAGUUGUUGCAGUUAAAAAGCUCGUAGUUGGACUUGUGUGCGCUGUCCGCGGGUGGCCUGCGCCCAAAAGGGCGUUUCGGUUCGGCCCCGGUGGCGCCUUGAAAUCUGCAGCUGGGAGGACGUUGGCCUUAACUGGUCGGCGACCGCACGCCGGCUGCUCGGUUACUGUGAGAAAAUUAGAGUGUUCAAGGCAGGCAUUGGGUGCAAUUGAAUACAUUAGCAUGGAAUAAUAAAAUAUGGCUCCUGCCGUAUUUUGUUGGUUUUGACUGGUGGGAGUAAUGAUUGAUAGGGACGGUUGGGGGUGCUAGUAUUGAGCGGCCAGAGGUGAAAUUCAUGGAUUCGCUCAAGACUAACUUAUGCGAAAGCAUUCACCAAGGACGUCCUCUUUAAUCAAGAACGAAAGUUGGGGGAUCGAAGACGAUCAGAUACCGUCGUAGUCUCAACCAUAAACUAUGUCGACUUGGGAUUGGCGGUAGUUUUUUCAUUAAGACACUGUCGGGACCACGGGAGAAAUCAAAGUGUCUGGACUCUGGGGGAAGUAUGGUCGCAAGGCUGAAACUUGAAGGAAUUGACGGAAGGGCACCACCAGGAGUGGAGCCUGCGGCUUAAUUUGACCCAACACGGGGAAACUUACCAGGUCCAGAGAUGUAGAGGAUUGACAGAUUGAAGCUCUUUCUUGAUCACUUCGGUGGUGGUGCAUGGCCGUUCUUAGUUGGUGGAGUGAUUUGUCUGGUUAAUUCCGUUAACGAACGAGACCUCAGCCUGCUAGUGUAGUCGGCUGGAUUGCCUUUGGCGAUCCGUGAUUUCGACUUCUUAGAGGGACAAUCGACGCGCAGUCGAUGGAAGUUUGAGGCAAUAACAGGUCUGUGAUGCCCUUAGAUGUUCUGGGCCGCACGCGCGCUACACUGCUGGGCUCAGCGAGUUUUACUUGGCCGAGAGGCCCGGUUAAUCUUGUGAAAUCCCAGCGUGCUUGGGCUCGCCUCCUGCAACUGGAGGCGCCAACGAGGAAUUCCUAGUAGACGCAGGUCAUCAACCUGCAUCGAUUACGUCCCUGCCCUUUGUACACACCGCCCGUCGUUCCAUAAGAGUGAGGCAUCCGGUGAAUUCUCGGGAGAGCCUGGGCGUGGCCAGCAAUGGUCUGCUCGGGUUUGAACUUGCAUAAACUUGGUGCCUAUGAUUAGGG
rnacentral:rRNA from 1 species